UACAGAGGGGGCCAGCGUUAUUCGGAAUUAUUGGGCGUAAAGGGCGCGUAGGCGGCCAUGCGUGUCUUCCGUGAAAUCCCUCGGCUUAACUGAGGACGUGCGGAAGAAACUGCAAGGCUUGAGUCCGGGAGAGGGGGGUGGAAUUCCCAGUGUAGCGGUGAAAUGCGUAGAUAUUGGGAGGAACACCUGUGGCGAAGGCGGCCCCCUGGUUGGAUACUGACGCUGAUACGCGAAAGCGUGGGGAGCAAACAGG
rnacentral:rRNA from 1 species